rnacentral:rRNA from 1 species
CCUGAGAAACGGCUACCACAUCCAAGGAAGGCAGCAGGCGCGCAAAUUACCCACUCCCGGCACGGGGAGGUAGUGACGAAAAAUAACGAUACGGGACUCAUCCGAGGCCCCGUAAUCGGAAUGAGUACACUUUAAAUCCUUUAACGAGGAUCAAUUGGAGGGCAAGUCUGGUGCCAGCAGCCGCGGUAAUUCCAGCUCCAAUAGCGUAUAUUAAAGUUGUUGCGGUUAAAAAGCUCGUAUUUGAAUCUGUGUGUCACGCUGUCGGUUCACCGCUCGCGGUGUUUAACUGAUACGCUCGUGACACGUCCUACCGGUGGGCCUGUCCUUGUGCCGCUCGUCGGUGCUUGGCGCGGGUCCUACUUUAAUCCCAUCGCGGUGCUCUUUACCGAGUGUCGGGGUGGGCCGGUACGUUUACUUUGAACAAAUUAGAGUGCUUAAAGCAGGCAAUUAUCGUCUGAAUACUGUGUGCAUGGAAUAAUGGAAUAGGACCUCGGUUCUAUUUUGUUGGUUUUCGGAACUCCGAGGUAAUGAUUAAUAGGGACAGAUGGGGGCAUUCGUAUUGCGACGUUAGAGUGAAAUUCUUGGAUCGUCGCAAGACGAACAGAAGCGAAAGCAUUUGCCA